UACGUAGGGUGCAAGCGUUAAUCGGAAUUACUGGGCGUAAAGCGUGCGCAGGCGGUUUUGUAAGUCUGAUGUGAAAUCCCCGGGCUCAACCUGGGAAUUGCGAUGGAGACUGCAAGGCUUGAAUCUGGCAGAGGGGGGUAGAAUUCCACGUGUAGCAGUGAAAUGCGUAGAGAUGUGGAGGAACACCGAUGGCGAAGGCGGCCCCCUGGGUCAAGAUUGACGCUCAUGCACGAAAGCGUGGGGAGCAAACAGG
rnacentral:rRNA from 1 species